CCCAACUCUCUCUCUCUCUCUCUCUCAUCGGAUCGGUGUGGGUUUUUGGUGGUCGUCGCCUGAUCCCUCCUCCCUGCGGCGGAUCGAUGACGGAAGGAAGAGAAGGGGAGCAGAGGAGAGGAGAGGAAUCUCGUCGUGUCUGUCAGUACAGGAGGGGGAGCGAUAAGACGGACGAAACGAGCGGAGCGGGCGACCCCCAUGAUUUCACGCGAUUCAGGAGCAGCAGCAGAGGCAAUUCCUUUUCGCUGGCUGCUGCAGCCUUUUGUGGCGCAGAUAACUAGAUGACUCAUGCCAGUCCGUCAACGCUCGCUAGGAGAACCAACUCCUCCUCCUUAUGUCUGGUUGAGAGUUCCUGCUGACAUGGAUGAUUAUUGGAUGUUCGAUCGGAUAUCUAUCUAGGACACACCUCGCACCUCUAGGAACUAUUAACUCCUAGAUGUGCGAAGGCAGCCUUAACUAGGCUGUGUUUGUUCAUUGCGGUUCCGAAAUUAAAUUUACAGUGCAUGUAAAACAAAGCUAUCAAUUAGCAUUUAAUUAAUUAGGUAUUAGCUAUAUUUUAUUUAAAAAAUAGAUCAAUAUGAAUUUUCUAAAUAAUUUAUAUAUAUAUAUAUAUAUAUAUUAUGAAAGAAAAUACCGUUUAGAAGUUUAUAAAAAACGUGAUGAUGGAAAAAAAAGAGAUUAGUUGGGAAAACACAGCCGGCCCUAAUGAGUCAGUGAAUAGCGAGCGAAGGGAAGGAGUGAGUCAGAUAAGGGAGAGGGGCAGGGAUGGAAUUUCGCGUGCCCCUCCCUCUCUUCUUCUUUCCAGGGAUAAGUUACUAAUGGGGAGAUCGGAUCUGGCCUCCCAACUCUCUCUCUCUCAUCGGAUCGGUGUGGGUUUUUUUAUGGUCGUCGCCUGAUCCCUCCUCCGUGCGACAGAUCGAUGACGGAAGGAAGAGAAGGGGAGGGGAGGAGAGGAAUCUCGUCGUGUCUGUCAGUCUGUCAGUACAGGAGCUCAGUACAGGAGCAGGAGCGACGAGAGUUUCUGAUUUGAGGGAGGGAGGCGCACAGAUUUUCUCUUCUUUCUUUCUUCGUUUUUGUUUUGUUUUGUUUUGCCAGACUUUUUACCACCCUCCCCCUCGCAUCGCAGAGGAGGGAGGAGCAGAGGACAUGCAGUACCUUUUUCGCCUUUUGUGGCGCGCGCAGAUAAUCUCAUGCCGUCGUCCGUCAACGCAAAAUCGCAGUGCCUCCGAUCCGGUCCAACGCUACGCUGCCAUGGAUAUGCGACUGUAUAGGAGCUGUACAUCACUAGGAGCUCUACUGAUCCUGUAAAUUUCUGAUAUGAUAUACCACAUGCUCUAGCGACAUGCGUUAAUACGCUACGUUUUCUUCUUCUUUCCCACCCCAAACAUAUAGUAUAUUUUUAAGAGAGAUACACUGGUUCUAUUUUCCCCCCAUCAUUAAAAUACUUAGUGCUACUGCCUAUAUUUGUUGUUGGCUUGUAAGCACUGCUCGAUCCUUCUCCAACUUAUUUAUACAAAUUGUGGGGCAUCUUUUAUUUUGUUACGAUAAUGCUUUCAUCAUUUUUUUACUAUAUAUAUUAAAUAUAAUUUUCGAGAAACAAUAUUAAUGUAUUUUUAGUUUUGUAUUCAUAAAUACUUUCUUCUACUUAUAAUUUUGUACACAAAUAUUAUAAUAUAUUACCAACUACACAGAGUAAUAGUUGAUCAAAGCAUUGUACUGGCGAAACAAAAUAUAUGCCCUAUAACUAAACUUGUACGGAGUAACUUGUAGUAUAACUUUAUUUUCUCUGUACCCUCCAGAAAGGUGAAAUCGACCUAUGCAUGCCAUGGGAGCACUAUAAGAUGCACACCAAUCACUUGCACACGGCCUUGUGAAUAAAAUCUUAUUUCUAAAUUCCUCUUUGAAGUUGCCCCUAAGGAUUCAUGUGAUUUUCUUGCACAAUUUUCUUAGCUUUCUAUUCAAGUUACAUUGAACUACAAACAUGUUACAAGUGGCUGGGUGAAAAAUAACAACAUGAUACAUACUUUUUUUGGGGGGUGCACUUAUAUAAGAUUAAUUUAUGAAGAAUGACAAGACACAAAAUGCAAACUUAUUCUUAGAAGAUUCUUGCCAUGCUAUGCCCUGCUUGAACCAUUGAAUUAUAAUAUGGAAUAAAAAGUCUAUCCAACAGUUGUUGGUGGUAUUGCUUACGUGGCUCACAUGUUAGCUCAUUUUACUCAAGCCGAGCCCUUUCCUCACUAAUCAGUGAGCCCAGGAAUACUAUACAUUAACACACUUCUUUUUCAUGCUGUAUGACUUACUGAAUUUUUUUUUAUCGAAUCCAUCACCAUUUCACUAUCACUUGUCAUAGUCCACAUGGCCAAGCCACUAUGGAGCUGUUCGAACUGCUUUUCAUACUUUAGUGGAUUGAAUACUCAGUUCUAUUUUUUUCAUAGUUUAGUGGGUUGAAUACUUGGACCAUUGAUUCAGAUUGGGCAAUUUCUCCUUUCCCAAGAUCAUCCUAAUGCCCUCUGUAAUGAAUUCUGUUUUAGCAGCCUCUUUAUGUUGACACCGUAAUCAUUUUAGCAGCCUCUUUGUACUGACACCAUAGUUUUAUUUCCAUUCUAUUCGUUCCAUAUCACUACAAAAUGUUAUUGAAUUUGAGAUGACCAUUAUUUAUCUUUAUCCUCUUUACAAAGAGAAGUUAGGCAGCCUGUGCAGAUUCGUAGUACUAGGAAAUAUCCCAUCCAGUCCUGGUUCUUAUAUUUUAGGACGGAGGGAGUAUUUGUCAUUUUUGCCUAUGUGGCAUGCCAGUCUGGCAAACUAUUUGCCAUUAUUAAUAUAAAUCAUCUUUCAUACACUAUAUAAGAUAUUUUUAUGCUAUUAUCUCUUGUAUAAGCAAAUUUCUCUCAUAUACCACAUAAAAAUAUUUUUUUUCUAAAAACUAAAUAUACCAGAAAAAAUUUAAAACAUGUAUACAAACUUCCAUAUUUUGUAACAAGGCGGCAAGGCCACACAAAAAAAAUUAUAUAUUUUUUGAAACUUCUAAUGAAAUAAACCAAUUGUUAAUCUUGUAUGUCUCUAAGUGUAUUUUGGGUAUUUUUGAAAAGAAGGCCCAAUCCAAUGGUGUAUUGUAAAACAACUGAUAAAGUCGUUGGUAUAUUAUAGAAAGAGACAAUGUCAAUGGCAAAUUGUUAAACUCGAACAAACUCAGUGGUAUAUAAUAAAUUCUCUCUAAUCUAAUAUGCAACGGAUGACAUGUGGGCUCCACAUAUUAGUGUGCACCACAAAAAAUUUUUAAUGAAAAAUGGGUCCCACAUAAGCGCUACAUCAACGCCAUAGAUCAGGUCAACACUGCCACGUAGACGCCACGUCAGUGAAACCGCCCUCCAAAACCACUAAGGAUGCGUUCAUUCCCAGCCGUUCCCAACUCCCUCUUCUCGUUUUCCACACGCAUGCUUUUCAAACUGCUAAAUGGUGUGUUUUUUUAAAAAAAAAGUUUUUAUACAAAAGUUGCUUAAAAAACCAUAUUAAUCCAUUUUUAAAAAAAAUAGCUAAAACUUAAUUAAUCAUGCGCUAAACGCUGCUUUGUUUUGCGUGUCGGCUCCCGAACACAGCCUAAGAGAGUAAAAUUGCAUCAGUUUUAAUAAUUGGGUGUGUGUGUGAAGAUAUCCGGUAUUGCAGUCAUACGAAUUAGAUUGGGUCACUGGUGUCAAGGGAGUCAAAGUGAACUUAGUCUUUAUUUAUUUAUUAUCACUGGCCUUCGAGAAUCUCGGCUGGACUAAAUCGGAGACUAAGGCCGACCCAAGUCGAACGCAACCCAAACAAAAACGAAUCUGGCUAACCCUAACUCUAGCAGGCGACAUCGAGGUCGAGAUCGAGGGAUUUAUGGCGUUCCCUUGAGAGAGAAGCUGACGAGGAGCGCGCGCCAUGGUUCCCAGAUGGCCGGCGGCUACGGUGUUGAGUGGUUUCAAGUAGUGUAUGGGAAGGCGGAACAAGCAUCAGCCGUUCUGUCACAACAUGAUCUGGUUAGAGAAAGCGGUGAGAGCUUGAUCCUUGAGCGCAGGAAGAAGAUUGGCACACACAACAUAAGGCAUUUGUGGAUGGUUGCUGCAUUUGCAAUGUCUGGCUACCUUUUCGGUGCUGGGGUCGCUACCCUUAUCAAAGGGAACAACAGACGAACACCUGAAGCGGCAGGAACUAAGGAAGAUACAACAGACGAACACUAGGAGCGGCAGGAACUAAGGAAGAAGCUUGGACGACUAGAAGAGUAAUAGUACUCAAUUCCAAAUGGACUGGAAAUGAUUCUGUAAUCAAAUGCCUCUAACAAGCUGUGGUAACCUUGGACCGUCUAUGAUUUAAAUCGUUGUUGAUUGGGACCUCCCUUUUAUAUCAUGUAACUUAGCUGCUGUUGCGAGUUCUCUGAAAUGCUUGUCACUUUUUUUUAAUUCCCUCCUGAAUCCUGAAUGAUGGUCAUCAGAAUGUCAUAAA